rnacentral:sRNA from 1 species
CAUCGAAAAUAGCCGAGUUCCGCUAGGCGGAAACGGGGGAACCAUGUAUUUCUGGGGUGAAUGGUUGUGCUUUUUGACAACCUAGGGAGUCCUUUCGACCGAACCCUUCAGCUAACCUCGUAGGCUCUGGGAAGGGGCAGU